rnacentral:snRNA from 1 species
AUGCCGUAAACUUAUGAGUAAGGAAAAUGAGUCAAAGUAAUGCCUGAAUCCUUACUGUUAAUGUGAACUGAAUUUUUUAGCAGGGAAGGGGGUCAUCCCUAAGAUGAUGUCUCCUC